rnacentral:rRNA from 1 species
GAUGAACGCUGGCGGCGUGCCUAAUACAUGCAAGUCGAGCGAACAGACGUGGAGCUUGCUCCUCUGACGUUAGCGGCGGACGGGUGAGUACCACGUGGAUCACCUCCCUAUAAGACUGGGAUAACUUCGGGAAACCGGAGCUAAUACCGGAUAAUAUAUUGAACCGCAUGGUUCAAUAGUGAAAGGCGGUUUUGCUGUCACUUAUAGAUGGAUCCGCGCCGCAUUAGCUAGUUGGUAAGGUAACGGCUUACCAAGGCAACGAUGCGUAGCCGACCUGAGAGGAUGAUCGGCCACACUGGAACUGAGACACGGUCCAGACUCCUACGGGAGGCAGCAGUAGGGAAUCUUCCGCAAUGGGCGAAAGCCUGACGGAGCAACGCCGCGUGAGUGAUGAAGGUCUUCGGAUCGUAAAACUCUGUUAUUAGGGAAGAACAAAUGUGUAAGUAACUAUGCACGUCUUGACGGUACCUAAACAGAAAGCCACGGCUAACUACGUG